rnacentral:rRNA from 1 species
GUAAGGAAUAUUGGUCAAUGGACGCAAGUCUGAACCAGCCAUGCCGCGUGCAGGAUGAAGGCCCUCUGGGUUGUAAACUGCUUUUAUCUGGGACGAAAAACGGACCUUCUAGUUCACUUGACGGUACCAGAGGAAUAAGCACCGGCUAACUCCGUGCCAGCAGCCGCGGUAAUACGGAGGGUGCAAGCGUUAUCCGGAUUUACUGGGUUUAAAGGGUGCGUAGGUGGAUAGGUAAGUCAGUGGUGAAAUCUUCAAGCUUAACUUGGAAACUGCCAUUGAUACUAUUUAUCUUGAAUACUUUGGAGGUAAGCGGAAUAUGUCAUGUAGCGGUGAAAUGCUUAGAUAUGACAUAGAACACCAAUUGCGAAGGCAGCUUACUACACAGUUAUUGACACUGAGGCACGAAAGCGUGGGGAUCAAACAGGAUUAGAUACCCUGGUAGUCCACGCCCUAAACGAUGGAUACUCGACAUUAGCGAUACACAGUUAGUGUCUGAGCGAAAGCAUUAAGUAUCUCACCUGGGAAGUACGACCGCAAGGUUGAAACUCAAAUGAAUUGACGGGGGUCCGCACAAGCG